CGCGUAGGUGGUUUGUUAAGUUGGAUGUGAAAGCCUCGGGCUCAACCUGGGAACUGCAUCCAAAACUGGCAAGCUAGAGUACGGUAGAGGGUGGUGGAAUUUCCUGUGUAGCGGUGAAAUGCGUAGAUAUAGGAAGGAACACCAGUGGCGAAGGCGACCACCUGGACUGAUACUGACACUGAGGUGCGAAAGCGUGGGGAGCAAACA
rnacentral:rRNA from 1 species